rnacentral:sRNA from 1 species
CGGGAGAGGGUCGCUGACGUGGAGGAAGGGCAGCAGGGUGUGUCGGGGCUCGGAUUAAGACAUCGGAGUCGGAGACCUGAGAGAUGCUAACCAAAUUCGAGACCAAGAGCGCGCGGGUCAAAGGGCUCAGCUUUCACCCCAAAAGACCUUGGAUCCUGACUAGUUUACAUAAUGGGGUCAUCCAGUUAUGGGACUAUCGGAUGUGCACUCUCAUUGACAAGUUUGAUGAACAUGAUGGUCCAGUGCGAGGCAUUGACUUCCAUAAGCAGCAGCCACUGUUCGUCUCUGGAGGAGAUGACUAUAAGAUUAAGGUUUGGAAUUACAAGCUUCGGCGCUGUCUUUUCACAUUGCUUGGGCACUUAGAUUAUAUUCGCACCACGUUUUUUCAUCAUGAAUAUCCCUGGAUUCUGAGUGCCUCCGAUGAUCAGACCAUCCGAGUGUGGAACUGGCAAUCUAGAACCUGUGUUUGGUAAAGCAGGAGGCAGAGGGCUCGAAAAGAGCCCUCUUCAUUUUUCCUAGUUUUUCGUAAUGAGCUUCUCUUAGAACAAUCUUCUCCCUUCUCAAAUGGACUAUGUCAGCUGAUUAAUUACUGAUUGUAUUUGUAGGAUGCUUU